GAUGAACGCUAGCGGCAGGCCUAAUACAUGCAAGUCGAACGGGAUCUGAGGGUAGCUUGCUACCCGAUUUGAGAGUGGCGCACGGGUGCGUAACGCGUGAGCAACCUACCCAUAUCAGGGGGAUAGCCCGAAGAAAUUCGGAUUAACACCGCAUAAUAAUACGCUAACACAUGUUGAUGUAUUUAAAUAUUUAUAGGAUAUGGAUGGGCUCGCGUGACAUUAGCUAGUUGGUAAGGUAACGGCUUACCAAGGCGACGAUGUCUAGGGGCUCUGAGAGGAGAAUCCCCCACACUGGUACUGAGACACGGACCAGACUCCUACGGGAGGCAGCAGUAAGGAAUAUUGGUCAAUGGGCGCAAGCCUGAACCAGCCAUGCCGCGUGCAGGAUGACUGCCCUAUGGGUUGUAAACUGCUUUUGUUAGGGAAUAAACCUUCUUACGUGUAAGGAGCUGAAUGUACCUAAAGAAUAAGGAUCGGCUAACUCCGUGCCAGCAGCCGCGGUAA
rnacentral:rRNA from 1 species